UUUCACUCAAAUGACCCGCAAAAGACCGAAGUCAAGCACACACGCAGAAGGGGAAACGAAGGAAGAGGAAGAGCAAGCCUUGCAAGUUGAAGGGCAGAUCCACCAUCGCCGGCUGAAGAGUGGACCCGACAAUCAGGCUAUAUGGCUAAACCGAACGAGACGAUCAUUUUUGCCCGCAAAUGUUAAGCUUGGCUUUAGUAGACGGAGGCCGUGGCUCAGAGUUUCUAUGAAAUCAUGAUCUCAUUUAUGUUUUAGUGAUACUUCUUUUGUUAAGCGUGUAAAUUGUAUCUCAAUGCCUUAGAUUAGGUGAUGUAAAUCUAAAGUUUGUUUUAUCACACUUGGGACCUGUAAUUAUCAACGUUUGAUGGUUGAAAGAGCUUCAUGGCAGUUUAGAGCUAUUCAAA